AAUUUUAUUGUGAACAAAUUGUUAUAGAUAUUUAUGUUUAUGUAGUUAGCUCCUUGAGUCUCGAAAAUGAAUCGAGACCGUUGGUACCGAGUUAGCGGUGGGGAGAACUCUGAUAUAUUAAUGUUGUUGUGGUGAUUUAUGGUUGAAAAUUUUGGAGAUUAAAUAUGGGUGAUUAAUGUUUGGAAAUUUUGGUGAUUCAUGUUUGGUGAAAUUGAUGUGUUAAUAAUUAAUAUUAUGAAUUUUUUAGAAGAAAUUUAUGUGUGACUUGGUGGAAAAUGAAUUUAAUUCAAUUUAGGUGUGAAUGGAAUUUGGAGUUGUGAUUUAUGUGUGGUUGUGGAAAUUUUAAUUGGUGUGAAUAAAUAUGUUUGAG
rnacentral:lncRNA from 1 species